ensembl:snRNA U2 U2 spliceosomal RNA
AUCGCUUCUUGGCCUUUUGGCUAAGAUCAAGUGUAGUAUCUGCUCUUAUCAGUUUAAUAUCUGAUACAUCCUCUAUCCGAGGACAAUAUAUUAAAUGGAUUUUUGGAACUAGGAGUUGGACUAGGUAGGAGCUUCUUCCGUCCACUCCAGGCAUUGACCUGGUAUUGCAGUACCUCCAGGAACGGUGCACUCCCU